GCCAUGUGGGAUGUUAGUUCCCUGACCAGGGAUGGAACCCAUGCCCUUUGCAUUGGAAGUGAGGAAUCUUAACCACUGGACUGCCAGGGAAGUCCCUGUAUGUUUACUUCUUAAUGUAUGGUGAGCAGGAAACUACUGCCGUUGAAAAAGAUAGUGUUACAAUUCCCAAGAGGAGAGGGCACACCUUGCCACACAGUGACUCACAGGUGAGUUGACGAAGCUCAAGGAAGAAGAGCACGAGUGACCCAGAGAAGGCACACGAGACACAACAGUCUUUCAGUCUGGAAGUCAAGGCUGAGGAGGAACGUUAUCCCGAUCUAUAAAAUCAUGAAGAAGCAGCUGAGAGAAUUUCCUGGCGGUCCAGUGGUUGGGACUCUGCGCUUCCACUGCAGGGG